rnacentral:rRNA from 1 species
UACGUAGGGUGCAAGCGUUGUCCGGAAUUAUUGGGCGUAAAGAGCUCGUAGGCGGUCUGUCGCGUCUGCUGUGAAAACUCGGGGCUUAACCCCGGGCCUGCAGUGGGUACGGGGCAGACUAGAGUGCGGUAGGGGAGACUGGAAUUCCUGGUGUAGCGGUGAAAAUGCGCAGAUAUCAGGAGGAACACCGGUGGGCGAAGGCGGGUCUCUGGGCCGUAACUGACGCUGAGGAGCGAAAGCGUGGGGAGCGAACAGG